AAAAUGGCAUGGAAGAGAAGAGUAAACAGAGAAGCCUUUUAAAGAGAGUUCUUAUUUGGUGAAAGAGAACAAAGAAACUGACUGUUGAAAAUGGUCUCGGAGCUGCAUAGUCGAUAAAUGGGUAGGCUAUGACGUGUUCGCUCGUUACAGCGAUAGAGUAUAACCUGUGAUGCAGGCGUACUUGAAGAGGUCGGUUUCGUGAGAAAUUGAUGAAUUUAGGUGGUAACACGAGCACAAGCUCUCGUCCUAAGG
rnacentral:ncRNA from 1 species